UUUAUUUGGGCAAUAGAGUGUCACUUUAAUACAAGUGGUAAUAUUUGUUUAAUUUGAGACAUCCUUUAAGUUACUAGUAGAUACAUUGUACAGUAUGUGUUUGUGUUAUAAAUAUGUAAUGGCAGCCACAAUAAUGUUAUAUUGAUAAAAAUUAGUAUAUACAGCAAUGAAAGUGGCUGUAGAGGGCUAGUUUGUUACAUUAUACCCAUUUACUACCUUUAGAUAGAAUGGAAUGUAAGUUUAAUCAAAUGUAUUAAGACAUUUUGAUGCGUUUUCACUACAAAUAAAGCACUUUCGUUUAUGAAAUAAAUGUUGUCUGUUGAUUUUAUUGCAUUAAAAGAUCCUGUGUCUAUAAAGUCAGUGAAAUUCACAUGUGAAAAAUAUGGUGAUUGUUUCACAAUUUAAAUUCACAUAAUUCUAAUAAAGCAUCUAAGCCAAAAAUUAUUCAG